UGGGGAAUCUUGCACAAUGGGGGCAACCCUGAUGCAGCGACGCCGCGUGAGCGAUGAAGCCCUUCGGGGCGUAAAGCUCUUUCGACCGGAACGAUAAUGACGGUACCGGGAGAAGAAGCUGCGGCUAACUACGUGCCAGCAGCCGCGGUAAUACGUAGGCAGCAAGCGUUGUUCGGAGUUACUGGGCGUAACGAGUGCGUAGGCGGUUUUCUAAGUUCGGUGUGAAAUCUCCCGGCGUAACUGGGAGGGUGCGCCGAAGACUGGGAAGCUGGAGUGUGGGAAAGGCGGGCGCAAUUCCUGGUGUUGCGGUGAAAUGCGUAGAUAUCAGGAGAAACACCGGCGGUG
rnacentral:rRNA from 1 species